GAAAUGCGAUAAGUAAUGUGAAUUGCAGAAUUCAGUGAAUCAUCGAAUCUUUGAACGCACCUUGCGCUCCUUGGUAUUCCGAGGAGCAUGCCUGUUUGAGUGUCUUGAAAUUCUCGACUGCCUCUCGGGGUGAAGUCGGAUUUGAAGCGUGUUUUUUGCCAGGCUUUGUUGCUCUGGCUGCUUCUAAAAGCAUUCGAGCCCCUCUUGUGCAAAAGUAUCUUUGACGUGAUAACCAAUCUGCGUCGUGGAGAAAAAAAGACUAGAGAUGGGCUCGUCAACGGUUUUGGUGUUGACCUUUUGACCUCAAAUCAGGCAGGACUACCCGCUGAACUUAA
rnacentral:rRNA from 1 species